UAGGAAUCUGCCUGGUAGUGGGGGAUAACGUCCGGAAACGGACGCUAAUACCGCAUACGUCCUACGGGAGAAAGCAGGGGACCUUCGGGCCUUGCGCUAUCAGAUGAGCCUAGGUCGGAUUAGCUAGUUGGUGGGGUAAUGGCUCACCAAGGCGACGAUCCGUAACUGGUCUGAGAGGAUGAUCAGUCACACUGGAACUGAGACACGGUCCAGACUCCUACGGGAGGCAGCAGUGGGGAAUAUUGGACAAUGGGCGAAAGCCUGAUCCAGCCAUGCCGCGUGUGUGAAGAAGGUCUUCGGAUUGUAAAGCACUUUAAGUUGGGAGGAAGGGCAGUAAAUUAAUACUUUGCUGUUUUGACGUUACCGACAGAAUAAGCACCGGCUAACUCUGUGCCAGCAGCCGCGGUAAUACAGAGGGUGCAAGCGUUAAUCGGAAUUACUGGGCGUAAAGCGCGCGUAGGUGGUUCGUUAAGUUGGAUGUGAAAUCCCCGGGCUCAACCUGGGAACUGCAUUCAAAACUGACGAGCUAGAGUAUGGUAGAGGGUGGUGGAAUUUCCUGUGUAGCGGUGAAAUGCGUAGAUAUAGGAAGGAACACCAGUGGCGAAGGCGACCACCUGGACUGAUACUGACACUGAGGUGCGAAAGCGUGGGG
rnacentral:rRNA from 1 species